rnacentral:rRNA from 1 species
UACGUAUGGUGCAAGCGUUAUCCGGAUUUACUGGGCGUAAAGGGAGCGCAGGCGGCGCGCCAAGUCUGAUGUGAAACCCCGGGGCUCAACCUCGUCGAGCCGUUGAAACUGGGUGCCUUGAGUGGGCGAGAAGUACGCGGAAUGCGUGGUGUAGCGGUGAAAUGCAUAGAUAUCACGCAGAACUCCGAUUGCGAAGGCAGCGUACCGGCGCCCAACUGACGCUGAAGCACGAAGGCGUGGGUAUCGAACAGG